UUAAAAUGUAAAUAUAAAAAUUAGAGUAGUAUUAGAUAUAUUCUUAAAACUUAAAAAAUUUGGCGGUAUUUUAAUCUAUUCAGAGGAACUUGUUUUAUAAUUGAUAAUCCUCAUUGAAUCUUACUUAAUUUUGUAUAGUUUGUAUAUCGUUGUCAUAAGAAUAUCUUAAAAAAGUUAAAAAUUUUCUAAUAUAAAAAUUAUUUUAUAUGUCAGAUCAAGGUGCAGCUUAUGAUUAAGAAAAAAUGAGUUACAAUUAAUUAUAUUAAUUACGGAUUAUAAAAUUAAAAUUUUAUAUAAAGGUGGAUUUGAUUGUAAAUUUUUAGAGAUAGUAAAAUUGAUUAUAGUUCUAAAAUGUGC
rnacentral:rRNA from 1 species